GACGAACGCUGGCGGCGUGCUUAACACAUGCAAGUCGAACGAAGUGGCGAACGGGUGAGUAACGCGUAAUCAACCUGCUCUUCAGAGGGGGACAACAGUUGGAAACGACUGCUAAUACCGCAUACUGAAGGAGGGGAUUGCGUCUGUUUAGCAAGUUGGAGGGGUAACGGCCCACCAAGGCGAUGAUCAGUAGCCGGUCUGGGGGGAUGGACGGCCACAUUUGGACUGGGGCACGGCCCAGACUCCUUCGGGAGGCAGCAGUUGGGAAUCUUCCGCAAUGGACGAAAAUCUGACGGGGCAACGCCGCGUGAGUGAUGACGGCCUUCGGGUUUUAAAGCUCUGUUAAUCAGGACGCGGUACCGGAAUAGAAAGCCACGGCUAACUACGUGCCAGCAGCCGCGGUAAUAC
rnacentral:rRNA from 1 species